rnacentral:rRNA from 3 species
UGCCUGGCGGCACUAGCGCGGUGGUCCCACCUGACCCCAUGCCGAACUCAGAAGUGAAACGCCGUAGCGCCGAUGGUAGUGUGGGGUCUCCCCAUGCGAGAGUAGGGAACUGCCAGGCAUC